GGGAACUGAGGGACGCCACGUCCUUGGCCAGCUUAAUGGCCUUCCCCUCGGCCUCGUUAAGCAUCCCUGUGACGCUCUCAACUUCAUUCUAAGGGUGCCAAGAGACUGUCCUACUGGGGCAGCGACAGUGUCUCUUCUUCCUUGCUGUUGGAUCUCAGGAUUAAGCACAGUGCCUGGCAUACAGCAGGGAGAUCAUCGCCUCUCCUCCAGGAACGCAACUAGAGGAAAGGACUUGCCUUGCAGCAAGAGAGACCUCAGCGAGCCGGGAAGAGGCUCCUCCCCACAGAACUGGGCACCACCCAGCACUG
rnacentral:lncRNA from 10 species